UACAGAGGUCUCGAGCGUUAGGCGGAAUCACUGGGCUUAAAGCGUGUGUAGGCGGAUCGUUAAGUGCCUUGUGAAAUCCCACGGCUCAACCGUGGAACUGCUUGGCAUACUGGCGGUCUUGAGCAACCUAGGGGCGAGCGGAACAAAUGGUGGAGCGGUGAAAUGCGUAGAGAUCGGAAAGAACACCAACGGCGAAAGCACUCUGCUGGGCCGACACUGACACUGAGAGACGAAAGCUAGGGGAGCGAAUGGG
rnacentral:rRNA from 1 species